rnacentral:misc_RNA from 1 species
UCGUAUAACGGAGGUGCUGGGGCUGUCGCUGACUUUCACAGGUCGUGCACGCCCAAAGGUGCUCUCUUAUGUCCAUCUCACCCCUUUGUGCAUCACCGCGUGUGCCCCCCCUAUUGGGCUCGUUCCAAAGGGGGGUUUCACGUUUUAACACAUACACCAAUUUUUAAGAGCAUGUGUAGAAUGUCUUACCUUUUUGCGAUUAUGCGCAAUCAAUA